GGCUUGCACCAACUUCCAAAAACCCAAAUUGAUGCCUGUCCCGUUAUUUUCGGCCAUUUCAGUGAUGAUGAAUCUGAACGUCAGUCUUGAACAGAAACUAGAGCUCUGAUGGAUCGGGGUUCCAAGCAGCUGCUGAUAGACCAUGAUGGCUGCACCUCAUGACCACCUACAUCCUGAAGACAAUAAAUAUGCUUAUUGGGCUGUAGUGACAAACAUGUACAUUUCUUUAGAGGGACACUGUGUGAGAUUUUUAGUUGUUUAUUUCCAGAAUUCAUGCUGCCCAUUCACUAAUGUUACCUUUUUCAUGAAUACUUACCACCAGCAUCAAAUUAAGUGUUCAUUAUGACUGGGAAAAUUGCACUUUUCAAACAUGAAAAGGGGGAUCUUCUCCAUUGUCCGCCAUUUUGAAUUUCCAAAAAUGACUGUACUUGGACCAUACUCGAAAAUAUUUGUUAAAUACUUAAAUAUUCAUGUUAAAAUCAAAUUUGGCAAUAGGCAGCCCAAUUU